rnacentral:rRNA from 1 species
AUUGAACGCUGGCGGCAGGCCUAACACAUGCAAGUCGAGCGGAUGAAGGGAGCUUGCUCCUGGAUUCAGCGGCGGACGGGUGAGUAAUGCCUAGGAAUCUGCCUGGUAGUGGGGGAUAACGUCCGGAAACGGGCGCUAAUACCGCAUACGUCCUGAGGGAGAAGGUGGGGGAUCUUCGGACCUCACGCUAUCAGAUGAGCCUAGGUCGGAUUAGCUAGUUGGUGGGGUAAAGGCCUACCAAGGCGACGAUCCGUAACUGGUCUGAGAGGAUGAUCAGUCACACUGGAACUGAGACACGGUCCAGACCCCUACGGGAGGCAGCAGUGGGGAAUAUUGGACAAUGGGCGAAAGCCUGAUCCAGCCAUGCCGCGUGUGUGAAGAAGGUCUUCGGAUUGUAAAGCACUUUAAGUUGGGAGGAAGGGCAGUAAGUUAAUACCUUGCUGUUUUGACGUUACCAACAGAAUAAGCACCGGCUAACUUCGUG